rnacentral:rRNA from 1 species
GAUGAACGCUGGCGGCGUGCCUAAUACAUGCAAGUCGAGCGAACGGACGAGAAGCUUGCUUCUCUGAUGUUAGCGGCGGACGGGUGAGUAACACGUGGAUAACCUACCUAUAAGACUGGGAUAACUUCGGGAAACCGGAGCUAAUACCGGAUAAUAUUCUGAACCGCAUGGUUCAAAAGUGAAAGACGGUCUUGCUGUCACUUAUAGAUGGAUCCGCGCUGCAUUAGCUAGUUGGUAAGGUAACGGCUUACCAAGGCAACGAUGCAUAGCCGACCUGAGAGAGUGAUCGGCCACACUGGAACUGAGACACGGUCCAGACUCCUACGGGAGGCAGCAGUAUGGAAUCUUCCGCAAUGGGCGGAAGUCUGACGGAGCAACGCCGCGUGAGUGAUGAAGGUCUUGGGAGCGUAAAACUCUGUUAUGAGGGAAGAACAUAUGUGUAAGUAACUGUGCACAUCUUGACGGUAACUAAUCAGAAAGCAACGGCUAACUACGUG